CCUACGGGGGGCUGCAGUGGGGAAUAUUGGACAAUGGGGGCAACCCUGAUCCAGCCAUGCCGCGUGUGUGAAGAAGCCCCGCGGGUUGUAAAGCACUUUCAGUGAGGAAGAACGCCUGGUGGUUAAUACCCAUCAGGAAAGACAUCACUCACAGAAGAAGCACCGGCUAACUCCGUGCCAGCAGCCGCGGUAAUACGGAGGGUGCGAGCGUUAAUCGGAAUUACUGGGCGUAAAGCGCGCGUAGGUGGCUUGAUAAGCCGGUUGUGAAAGCCCCGGGCUCAACCUGGGAACGGCAUCCGGAACUGUCAAGCUAGAGUGCAGGAGAGGAAGGUAGAAUUCCCGGUGUAGCGGUGAAAUGCGUAGAGAUCGGGAGGAAUACCAGUGGCGAAGGCGGCCUUCUGGACUGACACUGACACUGAGGUGCGAAAGCGUGGGUAGCAAACAGGAUUAGAUACCCGAGUAGUC
rnacentral:rRNA from 1 species